rnacentral:sRNA from 1 species
AGGUUGUUCAUUAGAAUGUUACUGUCUUCCCUGUUUUCUUCAAUGAUCUCUCUAAGCCUUGUUUUGCUUAUUCUUAAAAGCUGUGAUAGCUCCGCUGUGCGGCAAGUAAAUGGCUGGGGUAUGUUACAUAAAGAACCAACCUCUCCAAACAUUUCUCCCUCUGCAAUUUUCUCAUAUACCUGUUUUCAAACAAUUCAUAAUUUUUGAAUACUAACCACUGCUCCUGAAACUACUAUGUAAACAUCUGCUUCUCCUUCAUUCUGCAAUAUUAUAUCUUCCUUUGGUGGGAAGUACUCAGCCUGCACUUCCAUGACCUUUCUGCAAUGAAAUUGCCAGAUACUCCAUUGAAGAGAUAGGCUUGCCGGAUGAUCGGAAAGAAUAAGCUGUAUGCUAUGCUUGAGCGGAUUCCUUUUGGUAGACAGUCUAACAUGACCUGCUGGUUGAGUCCCUCUGUCUUGAAUUGUAGGCAGAAGUGAGAUAGCACUUGCUGCUUUAUGUUCUCAGGUAGCUGAUUGCGUGCUGCAAACUCUGAUGCUGCUUGGAUUGAGUCCCUCUGCACAUAUAUUUUUUAAAGGAUCAUCAAUAUAGCAGUACAUAUAUUGGAACAACAAUGCUGGUAGUAGUAACCGUUUUAGUUAAAAUGAUGACUAUGCUAUUUGCAUUCACUUCAGACCUCUUUUAGUAUUCUUGCCCUUGAGUUGAAUGAUAUUUUGUUGAUGUUGUUGUCCCUUAGAAUGGUCAAAUGACGUAGGGAUACAAGAACUUGUACCUUAUGCUCUUGAAUAAGCAUGAUUUUAUAUGUAACCAUACAUCCCACCACGCAUAAAACCAAAAUGCUAGUUUGUUCUCAGAUCUUUGACAUCAUUUAUUUGUAUGGCAUCCAUAUGCAGCUUAUUUGUAUUUUUAUGAUCAAAGGGUAGUGUAUCACAUCUGUAAUGGCAUUCCAAAUGCUAAAAUUUUCACUUGUCUGCCAUAAUCUGCUGCAUUCAGCACUAUAUAAAUCUCACUAAAAACUACAUUUCUGAAUGAUCUUUCUGUAGACAGAAGAUUUGCCAUUGACAUUUUUGCUGGUAAGUAGAGAAACUUACAAAUUUCCUGGUGCGGCUGGUCCCAUGGACAACUAGGUUGGUCAUGUUGCCAAUGAGAUAAGCUGUCAAGCCCAGAUUAAACAUCAUAUAGACAAUAUCAAAUAGCAUCUCUGUUGGAUUUUCAGCAUGUAGGUCCCCAUAUCCUGUUGUUGUCAGUGUUGUAAUGGACCAGUAAAGAGCAGUAAUAUAUCUAGUCCAUAAGCUCUCUGAUCUGAAAGUUGACAUCACAGCUCCUAUCCAUGUUUUCUCUGGGUUGGGAUAUCUGUCAGCAAUCAUAUAAUUGAAGCAUCCUGCACAAUGUACUGCGAAGAGGGACUUACAGAAAUAAGUUUUGAGCACCUAGUCCAGAAAUAGUUGAAUCGGAUAUUUUGAACCUGGCAAAUAGUGAACUGACUCGGUGAAGACGCCACAGCCUGAGCAAAUUGAGUACCUUGAAAGCAAUGUCAUUCCCCUUGUGUGUAAAUAGAAGGAUGAUUGGUUGAAAUGGUGCUGUUGAACAUACAUCAAAGAUAAACCAAUAACGCAGGAACACACCUCAUUGCAAUUCUCUUUCGGUCAUCCACAAGAAGAUGUGUUUUGCUAUCGACAUAAGCAACGAAGAACGUCAAAACAAUAUCAAUGGCAAAGAAUAUAUCCACAAUGUUCUCAACUAGCAAAAGCUUAGAUGGUAAGUCCCUCAGGAAUGCUAGUUCAAACGGACAAAUCCAGGCAGAGUAAACAACUAGGACUAUAAGGAACAGCUCCCAGGAUCCUGUACCGGGGAUCAUAAGGCGAUAUGAUGAACUUCUGCAACUUGUUGGAGUGGUUUAUAGUUGCACCAAGGGAUGGCAGUAGCUCUACAGUGAAGCUAUCGCU